AUUGAACGCUGGCGGCAGGCUUUACACAUGCAAGUCGGACGAGUGGCGAACGGGUGAGUAAUGCCUGGGAAACUGCCUGGUGGUGGGGGAUAACUACUGGAAACGGUAGCUAAUACCGCAUACCAUCCGAUGUGCCCAUGUGGGAUUAGCUUGUUGGUGGGGUAAAGGCUCACCAAGGCGACGAUCCCUAGCGGGUCUGAGAGGAUUAUCAGCCACACUGGGACUGAGCCACGGCCCAGACUCCUACGGGAGGCAGCAGUGGGGAAUUGUGCACAAUGGGCGCAAGCCUGAUCCAGCCAUGCCGCGUGUAUGAAGAAGGCCUUCGGGUUGUAAAGGACUUUUGGCAGGGAAGCGGUACCUGAAGAAUAAGCACCGGCUAACUACGUGCCAGCAGCCGCGGUAAUAC
rnacentral:rRNA from 1 species